UUUUGCCAGCCAUCUUCUACACUUUAACAUCUCAACAUGCAAUUAGCUUUUAUUUAAUCAAAAUCAGCAACCAACAUUCCUCCCAUUCCUCCUAACAUUCUGAUCCAAGCUAUUCUUAUGCUUGAAUUAUAAUUCACUGAUUCCAGCUUUCCAAAUCAGUUUCCAAGAUUUCCCAAAACAAGAAAGAGAUCCAAUUUUGGUGAAUUCAGAAAGAAGAUUUUCCUCAUUUCCUACUCAUAUCAAGGUUACCUCCUACUUUACUUUCUCCAUACAUUCAUUUGUUAAAUUACAAAACUAUGAUUCAAAUGAAAACAGAUCGAACACACGCAUCCAUUACCACUUCUUUUAGACUAUUAUUGUUUCAAUUACAUCAGCUUAUUACCAUCAGAGAACCACCAACAGAAUAAUACACACGCACACAUUUUACUAUAUUUCUAUCUAUUACAAGUACAGAUCAGUUUUUGUAAAUAGAAAUGAAUGAAAAUGAACAGAA